GCGGCCAUGUUUGUAUCUUGAGAGUUUUCUGCGGUUUUUUUGUCCUACUAUUCCUUAUGUGAUUGGAACUCCGUCUUCUAAGAAUAUUCACAAAAAAUAUUUGCGUAACAGUUGGAUUAUCUAAAACUACAUCAUUACAAAGUUUCACGAUGUGCUGCAUAGUAAAAGGAUGCACUCGAAGUAGAUUAACUAAUAACGACGCAAGGUUUUACUCCAUUCCCAAAGUGAGAAAUGACGAAACAGAGUUGUUGGUGGAAAGAAGAGCUCUUUGGUUAAAAAGAGUUAACAUUAAAGAAAAACAACUGCUUGUUUCUGGUAAAGUUUGCGACAAGCACUUCAUUUUAGGCAAACCUAGUUAUGAACGUGAUAUAUCUAAUCCAGAUUGGGCACCAACUUUGUUAUUAGAAAACAACGAACAGCUUUCAGCAAACAGGUGUCAGAGAAGAUAUAUACUUAGCCAGGCUAGAGCAUUAUUAGAUAUUUCAGCAAGGUUUGCUAGGAAAGGAACUAUUUGCUUUGAAGAGCCUGAACAGCAGAUUGAGAUUGAUUCAAGACAUGAUGAUUGAAGUAAUUCUCCAUUACUUUCAUUGCUAUUGAUUAUGGCAAGCGAUUCGACACACGAACUACCAGACGGAGACUGAGACUGAGAGUCUUGGGAAACACAGGAACCUAAAAUGUAUAUGGAAGAAGAAUAAAUAAGAAGUAUUUUAAACAUGUGCCUGAUAAGCUAGUUUCAUUACUGUUCAGACUUAUAAUGGAAUCAGGUGAUGAGAUGGAUUGAAGAUUUUUGUUUAUUUCAUUAUCUGGAUCAGACAUCUCCAUUUGUGUCUGCUGUUCAGGCUCUUCAAGCUAGCUGCAAGCAGUGGAACAAGGCAAGAGAGGGUAGAGUUACUGCCAGUAAAGUUUACGACGUGUCAAAAACCAACCUGAGUAAUCCUUCGAAAUCCCUAUUACAACAAGUGGCGUACCCAACGGAUUGUGCGUUCCGCUCAAAAGCCACAGACUGGGGGAUAAAGCACGAAGGGGCAGCAAUAAGGAGAUUCAAACAAUAUAUGAAAGAGGCAAACUUACAUACCAACUUUGAGAUACAUGGCGCUGGCUUGUAUGUUUGUCCUUCACAUGGAUAUUUGGCGGCAACCCCUGAUGGAAUUUUCAAAUGCGCUUGUCACGAAGAUGCUGUGAUGGAAAUGAAAUGUCCCUAUUCUCACAGGAAUAAUACUUCAGGCGAAGCUGCUACUCCCGAUACAAAGUUCUGUCUGACCGUAGACGACAAUGGAAUAUUACAACUAAAACGAUGUCAGCCCUACUUUUACACCAUGCUCUAUAGGUUCUAUGUACCUUAAGAAAACUCAAAAGCCAUCUAUUGAGCUUAGCAGGCGAAUUUCAUUCGUUUCCCUUUCCACAUUUCCCCUCCAUCCCAAAUGCUUCGCCCUAAAUCCCUUCGGGAAAUUUCAAGUUCAGUUGUCAAUCAGCAAGAUCAUGCGAUUUUAGUUGAUAGAUGGCACCGGCGGCCUGCCCUUUUCCCCCUCCUUCCUAAAUUAAAAUCGCAAUAUCUUCUUAAAUGAAACUUUUUUACAAUAAGAUGGUUAGAAUCGACUUUUAAAGCUGCAUUAAAUUGUUUAUUUUUUUAUUUUUCUCGUGAAAAUAGCCCACCCGACACCCUUUAACAAGGCGAGUUAGAGAAAGAAUCCCAUCCUUUAGUUAGAGUAGUCCCUGACUCUAAUCUGGGUUCCAGCCCCAUCGGGGACCACUUCGUCAGCGGGGGUUGAACGGGGAAAAUGAUGUCCCAAUAUUUAACUUAAUUUCAAGAGCAUUCGUAUUAAUAUGUGUUUGUUGUUCAAAUUAACAUGCCUCUAUGGCGCAAUUGGCUAGCGCGUUCGGCUGUUAACCGGAAGGCUGGUGGUUCGAGCCCACCUAGGGGCGCAAUAUUUUUCCUCUUUACCUAAAAUUUUGAGGGGUCUGGUAGGAAAGAAUCAAGGAAUACUGGUAAAGGACGAGAAGGCAUUUGCAGAAAAAUUUUGCAGCACUUCAAAAUUUUUAAGUGUAGGGCAAGGGCGGACAAGGGUUCCCGUGUGACCUAAUGACUUCAGCUAUCUACCAUACCCCCCCCCCCAAGCAUUACUUGUUCUGUAACAAGGUGCUUUGGAAUAACUUGCACUGCCUCUCUUUUCUUAUUCCACCUUUUUUAUAUUGAGAACUUGAAGGUUAAAAAGAGUCUAUAUUUAAUCAACUAUUUCCUGAUUCAAACGCCGCUGAUGAAGUUAUAAAUUAUUACCACUGGCGCUAAAUAUAGAUUUUUUUCCGCAA